UCCCUCUCAGGAUGGCACCUGGAGAGUUUCCAGUACUCUACCAGUCUUGACUACAGAAGGGAGAGUCAAGCAGAGGCCUACCCUUUCUAUUCCUAGCUUGGUCAGUGGCUAGCGAGUGGAAGGCAACCUGCUACAAGU